GAUGAAGUCAAACAGAAAGGCAGGAAUGAGACCACCUACAGUGUCUGCACUUCAUCUUUCAGAGCAGGGCUAGCACCCUUCCCCUGGAAAGGGCCGGAUGGGAAGUAUUUUUGGCUGGUGAACCAGUCCCUGCUGCAGCUAUCCAACCUGCCUUUGUAACGUGAGUGCGGCCACAGACAAAAUAAACGAAGGAGCGCGGUUACGUCCCAACAAAAAUCUACCUACGGACACUGAAACUGGAAUUUCAUACCGUGUUCAUUUGUCAUGAAACACUAUUCUUUUGACUUGUUUUCAACCAUUUAAAAAUGUAAAAUAGAUUUUUGGUUCUUGGACCAUACCAAAACAAGAAGUGGGCUGGAUCUGGCCCACAGGCUGUAGUUUGCCUGUUUAGAUUCGUAGCAUUUAACAGCACCAAAUGAAUAAGAAAUGCUCUCAAUAAAAUUCUCAAGUCUACUCCUCAGACCCUGUCAUUUACUUUCAGAAAAGGCCAGCACGAGAAUACCUCCACACAACACAACAGCAGGAGGCCGGCCACACUCACCGGACACGAAGGCUAGCCCAGAGGGGUUUUCUGUCUGUGUUAAGGACCACGGCGCCCAGCACAGCUCCUGGCUUCCAGUGGGCCCUCAGCUAACAUUUGGUGAACACACGAAUGAAUGGAUGCCAGCCGUCUCCGCACUUGUCUAUGAACCUUCUGUUACUAAAACUAAGAGUGAACGUUGUGUCUGUAGAUCAUCCAUCAGUCUAGAGGGUACCUUUGUCUGAAUCAAACAGAGCACCCGCUGGGAAGCACAGCUUUAGUGGCGCACGGCCCCACUCUGUGCACCACCUCUGAGGAGAAGAUGUUUCCCAGCCUCCAUCACCCCAGGAAGAUGCAAUACUGCCACUAUAAGUGGUUAUGUUAUCACCUUUCUGCAGGGCAGAGACCUUUCUUUGAGCGAGAGACCACAUUCACAUAACUUUUACUAUAACCGUUGUCUUUUAUUAUUGUUGUUAAUAAAUUACUGUACCUAAUUUACAGAUUAAACUUUAUCAUUGGUAUGUUGUAUAGGAAAAUAUACAGUAUAUAUAGGAUUCAGUUAUUUUCGGUCUCAAGGAUCAUUAUUCCCCUUGGAUAAG